AUGAUGCAGCAAGGUGUCGAGCCCAGUGUGUGGACAUAUAGUUCAAUCAUUGAUGCAUUGUGCAAGGCAAGAGCAAUGGACAAGGCAGAGCUAGUGCUUCAGCAGAUGGUUAACAAAGGUGUUCAACCCAAUAAUGUCACAUAUAAUUGCAUGAUCCAUGGAUAUUCCACAUCUGGGAGGUGGAAAGAGGCUGCUAAAUUGUUUAGAGAAAUGAAAAGCCGGGGCCUUAUACCAGAUACUUUUACUUGCAACGCCUUAAUGACUUACCUUUGUAAGCAUGGAAGAAGCAAAGAAGCUGCAGAAAUUUCUGAUGCCAUGACUGCCAAAGGCCACAAGCCGGAUAUCGUCUCAUACAGUAUUUUGCUUCAUGGGUAUGCCAAUGAAGGAUGCUUUGCUGAUAUGAUUGAUCUCUUUAAUUCAAUGGAAAGGAACGGCAUUGCAGCCGACUGCCAUGUUUUCAGCAUAUUAAUCGGUGCGUAUGCUAAAUGUGAAUUAAUGGAUGAAGCUAUGCUCAAAUUUACUCAAAUGCGGCGACAAGGAGUGAGUCCUGAUGCGUUCACAUAUUCAACUGUAAUAGUCGCACUUUGUAGAGUGGGUAGGCUGGCUGAUGCAAUUGGCAAAUUUGGUGAGAUGAUUGCUAUGGGAGUACAGCCGGACAGACCUGUUUAUCGCUCCCUAAUUCAGGGUUGUUUUAUGCAUGGUGGCUUGGUUAAAGCCACAGCUGGUUUCUGA
rnacentral:rRNA from 1 species